rnacentral:rRNA from 1 species
GACGAACGCUGGCGGCGUGCUUAACACAUGCCAGUCGAACGGAAAGGCCCUGCUUUUGUGGGGUGCUCGAGUGGCGAACGGGUGAGUAACACGUGAGUAACCUGCCCUUGACUUUGGGAUAACUUCAGGAAACUGGGGCUAAUACCGGAUAGGAGCUCCUGCUGCAUGGUGGGGGUUGGAAAGUUUCGGCGGUUGGGGAUGGACUCGCAGCUUAUGAGCUUGUUGGUGGGGUAGUGGCUUACCAAGGCUUUGACGGAUAGUCGGUCUGGGCGGUUGACCAGCCCCAUUAGGAUUAUAGUAAGGCCCAGAGUGAUACGGGCGGCAGAAGUGGAGAAUAUUGCACAAUGGGCGGAAGCCUGAUGCAGCAACGCAGCGUGCGGGAUGACGGCCUUCGGGUUGUAAGACGCAUUCGCCUGUGACGAAGCGAGAGUGACGAUAAUGGGUAAAGAAGCACCGGCUAACUACGUG